UACAGAGGGUGCAAGCGUUAAUCGGAAUGACUGGGCGUAAAGGGCGCGUAGGCGGUUUAUUAAGUUAGAUGUGAAAACCCUGAGCUUAACUUAGGGCGGUCAUUUAAUACUGGUAGACUGGAGAGCAGUAGAGGGUAGUAGAAUUUCCGGUGUAGCGGUGAAAUGCGUAGAUAUCGGAAGGAAUACCGGUGGCGAAGGCGGCUACCUGGACUGCAUCUGACGCUGAGGCGCGAAAGCAUGGGUAGCGAACAGG
rnacentral:rRNA from 1 species